rnacentral:tRNA from 1 species
AAGGCUUUAAGUUAAUUAAACUAAUAGCCUUCAAAGCUAUAAACAAAGAAAUUCUUUAAGCCUUA